UACGUAGGGUGCAAGCGUUGCCCGGAUUUAUUGGGCGUAAAGGGCGCGUAGGCGGCUCUGCACGUUCGUUGUGAAAUCGCCCGGCUCAACUGGGCGGGGUCAGCGGAUACGGCAGAGCUUGAGCAAGCUAGGGGGCAAUGGAAUUCCCGGUGUAGUGGUGGAAUGCGUAGAUAUCGGGAGGAACACCAGUGGCGAAGGCGGCUCACUGGCCCGGUUCUGACGCUGAGGCGCGAAAGCGUGGGGAGCAAACAGG
rnacentral:rRNA from 1 species